rnacentral:rRNA from 1 species
AUACGGAGGGUGCAAGCGUUAAUCGGAAUCACUGGGCGUAAAGCGCGCGUAGGCCGUCUUUUAAGUCGGACGUGAAAGCCCCUCGGCUCAACCGGGGAACUGCGUUCGAUACUGGGAGACUUGAGUCCUGGAGAGGGUGGCGGAAUUCCGGGUGUAGGAGUGAAAUCCGUAGAUAUCCGGAGGAACACCGGUGGCGAAGGCGGCCACCUGGACAGGUACUGACGCUGAGGCGCGAAAGCGUGGGGAGC